GAAUUUUGGACUAUCUUUUAGUUAAAGCAGAUUUUUCACAUAUUUGCUUUACUAUUUUGCUAAGAAUUACCUAUUCAAAGAGAAUACAUGUUGCCUUGAAAUACACUUGUCCCCAUUCCUCUUCCCCCAGAAAACUUUCCCUCCUGAAAUACAGGUAAGGUAAGCAGGUUAAAGGUGAGCCAUUGUCAUGUUGAAAUCAGGCUAAAUCUUUAAAAAAAAAUCAGGUGUGUCUCUGAUUCCUGGACUCCCUUCCAACUUAGUACAGGUCACAGUUGCAUAAUGAUGAGGUUGGAUUUAUUUGCCAAAGAAAUACACUUGAAAUUGGCUAUUUGGGGCACUUUAUUAUGCUUUGAGUUAAAAUGUUGGCUACAUUACCACACAUACCAUGGGAAGUGAGACGAGUAACACCACACACUAUCUCAACUGAAGGUGUUUACCUCAGCUACAAUCCUCAUUCAUUUUUAUUGCUUAGGUGUUACCUUAUUCUCAGUUGGAUUGUUUAUUCUGUUCCUGUUGAUAACUAAAUUCUAACAGCAAGUGGCAAACUCCUAAAAGUGAGAGCACUUUUGAUUCCUUUUGGAGAGCAGCCUAGUUUUCUCUAAUGUACAUCUGUUCUAUGGAACAUUUUUUAGAAUAUUCAGGUGAAGAUUUGCCUAGUAUUUUAAUACACUGGAUUCUGAUAAUUUUUUAAAAAAUACAGUCAUAUUGUUUUGAAGUUAUUAAAGCCAAGCAACAAAUAGAUUUUGCCGAGAUUUUAUGAUUCUCAGCUUUCUGGAAUUAAUUUUAAUUGGUUUG
rnacentral:lncRNA from 1 species